AUGCCACUUGUGGACAAGUUUUCCAGCAAGAUGAAGGGCUGGAAGCCGAAGUUACUACCAGCUGCGGGUAGACUUACACUGGUUAAUUCGGUGCUAAUGGCUCUCCCGAUCCAUUUCAUGAUAGUUCUGCCUCUCCCAGUCUGGGCCAUCAAAAUAAUCAAUAGGAGAUGUCGUGGUUUCAUUUGGAAGGGAGAGGAGGCUAUAAGUGGAGGACACUGCUUGCUACCGUGGGCUCAGGUGUGUGCUGUUGGGGAACGUUGCAGAAAACAAAAAAUUUCCUACGGUUUCACCAAGAUCCAUCUAGGAGUUCAUCUGGCAACGAGUGAUUGGAUUGCAUCUACAUACCUUUGUAGAUCACGCGCGGAAGCGUUCAAAGAACGGGGAUGA
rnacentral:rRNA from 1 species